ACUCAUCACUUUUGAUAAUGUUAAGAAAGAUAGUGGUGGUUGUGAUGGUAGCAACAUCUGCAAUGUCUUCUACACCAUGGAUGCCAUGCCCGUCGUCACUACCUUGUAAUGCUCGGCCAGUAAAGGACAACAUGAACCAAGGUGAAGAUGAAUUUUAUGUGGAACAAGACUAUAACAUUUGGGAUCCUGCUCCAGUUUACAGUGGAGGAGGUAAAUCCGCUCCGGUUCCUCAUCCAGGAGAGAAACCAUGAUCAUGAUGAGAGUCAUGCUUUUUUAAUUUUAUUUCCAACCAUCGUCACUAGCUACCUUAAUUGGUAAUGUAUGUUUUUAUUAGUUUCCAAGCACGCUACUCUUUUAACUUUUGAUGUACAUGAACUAGCACGCACUUUUAUCAUCUUUAGUUUGACUUUGAUAAUAAUAUUAAUAAUUUUAAAGAAGUCUACUUUGUUUGUUCAUUUCAUGAACGAAAUUGAGAAU
rnacentral:lncRNA from 1 species